GUGUCUUUUCUGUAGAAGCUGCAGUUUCAUAUUUACCCACUAACUACUUACGUGUCCUCUUGUUAGAAUCAUGCCCCUCCACUUUCCCUAAAGCCCACAAUAUUAUUUUUCCAGUUUUGUUUCUAUUUUCCUCUCAUGGUAAUUUGGCUUUCUUCUCCAGCGAUAGAGAAGAUCAUUUUCUGCUUCCUCCCACUUAUAGAUUAGAUCUUUCACUUAUCAAGUAGCUGAAAAACUUCUUCUGUUUGUCAUUAUGCAUUUUGAGAUAAAGGAGAGCGUCCUCCCCUUUCAUGUGUAGCUGAUAUUGUAAUUAAUUUGUGAGGCGCGUCCAUUAUUUGAAGAAUGUGCAGUUGAUGAGCUAAUAGAUCCCCGGCUAGAAAACUGCUACUCCGAACAUGAAAUAUACUGCAUGUAUGCUGCAUCUUUGUGCAUACGACGGGAUCCGCACGCCAGACCUCGCAUGUCUCAGAAUCCUCUCUUCAAAUAUUGCUGUAGGCAAAGACAUUGGCUAAAUCAAGUGAUCUUUGUCCACACCAAACAUUUUGCACAGAAAUAUCGGCUGUAACAAUAUUAUUAUUAGUAGAACUCCUACUCGCAGAAAAAUAGGGAAGAGAAGCAAUGAAAACUAUUACUUCCAGUAGUAAUGCGGUGUUAGGAAAGGAAAAUCAAGAAUACAUCCCAAAUAGCAAAAUGAUUGCCUGAAACCAUAAUCGAGCUUACAUCAGCUGAAAUCCUGUG